CCUACGGGUGGCAGCAGUCGAGAAUCAUUCACAAUGGGGGAAACCCUGAUGGUGCGACGCCGCGUGGGGGAAUGAAGGUCUUCGGAUUGUAAACCCCUGUCAUGUGGGAGCAAAUUAAAAAGAUAGUACCACAAGAGGAAGAGACGGCUAACUCUGUGCCAGCAGCCGCGGAAAUACAGAGGUCUCAAGCGUUGUUCGGAAUCACUGGGCGUAAGGCGUUCGUAGGCUGUUUCGUAAGUCGUGUGUGAAAGGCGCGGGCUCAACCCGCGGACGGCACAUGAUACUGCGAGACUAGAGUAAUGGAGGGGGAACCGGAAUUCUCGGUGGAGCAGUGAAAUGCGUAGAUAUCGAGAGGAACACUCGUGGCGAAGGCGGGUUCCUGGACAUUAACUGACGCUGAGGCACGAAGGCCAGGGGAGCGAAAGGGAUUAGAUACCCUGGUAGUC
rnacentral:rRNA from 1 species